GACGAACGCUGGCGGCGUGCUUAAUACAUGCAAGCUGAACGAAGCUUUUUUAACUGGUGCUUGCACCGACUUAAACAACAGAGAGGCGAACGGGUGAGUAACACGUGGGUAACCUGCCCCACAGCGGGGGAUAACAAUCGGAAACAGAUGAUAAUACCGCAUAACCAACGAAACCAACUGGUUUCUGAUGCAAAGAUGGUUUCGGCUACUCCUUUGGGAUUGACUCGGGGCGUAUUAGCUAGUUGGUAAGGUAAUGGCUUACCAAGGCAAUGAUACGUAGCCGAACUGAGAGGUUGAUCGGCCACAUUGGGACUGAGACACGGCCCAAACUCCUACGGGAGGCAGCAGUAGGGAAUCUUCCACAAUGGACGAAAGUCUGAUGGAGCAACGCCGCGUGAGUGAAGAAGGUUUUCGGAUCGUAAAACUCUGUUGUCAGAGAAGAACGUGUGCGAGAGUAACUGUUCGUGCAGUGACGGUAUCUGGCCAGAAAGCCACGGCUAACUACGUGCCAGCAGCCGCCGUAA
rnacentral:rRNA from 1 species